GGCUUUGUGGAGCAGUGGUUAGCACGCUCGGUGCGUAUUCGAAAGGUCCGUGGUUCGAGUCCCGGCUAGGUCA
rnacentral:tRNA from 1 species